UUAAGCGACUAAGCGUACACGGUGGAUGCCCUGGCAGUCAGAGGCGAUGAAGGACGUGCUAAUCUGCGAUAAGCGUCGGUAAGGUGAUAUGAACCGUUAUAACCGGCGAUUUCCGAAUGGGGAAACCCAGUGUGUUUCGACACACUAUCAUUAACUGAAUCCAUAGGUUAAUGAGGCGAACCGGGGGAACUGAAACAUCUAAGUACCCCGAGGAAAAGAAAUCAACCGAGAUUCCCCCAGUAGCGGCGAGCGAACGGGGAGCAGCCCAGAGCCUGAAUCAGUGUGUGUGUUAGUGGAAGCGUCUGGAAAGGCGCGCGAUACAGGGUGACAGCCCCGUACACAAAAAUGCACAUGCUGUGAGCUCGAUGAGUAGGGCGGGACACGUGGUAUCCUGUCUGAAUAUGGGGGGACCAUCCUCCAAGGCUAAAUACUCCUGACUGACCGAUAGUGAACCAGUACCGUGAGGGAAAGGCGAAAAGAACCCCGGCGAGGGGAGUGAAAAAGAACCUGAAACCGUGUACGUACAAGCAGUGGGAGCACGCUUAGGCGUGUGACUGCGUACCUUUUGUAUAAUGGGUCAGCGACUUAUAUUCUGUAGCAAGGUUAACCGAAUAGGGGAGCCGAAGGGAAACCGAGUCUUAACUGGGCGUUAAGUUGCAGGGUAUAGACCCGAAACCCGGUGAUCUAGCCAUGGGCAGGUUGAAGGUUGGGUAACACUAACUGGAGGACCGAACCGACUAAUGUUGAAAAAUUAGCGGAUGACUUGUGGCUGGGGGUGAAAGGCCAAUCAAACCGGGAGAUAGCUGGUUCUCCCCGAAAGCUAUUUAGGUAGCGCCUCGUGAAUUCAUCUCCGGGGGUAGAGCACUGUUUCGGCAAGGGGGUCAUCCCGACUUACCAACCCGAUGCAAACUGCGAAUACCGGAGAAUGUUAUCACGGGAGACACACGGCGGGUGCUAACGUCCGUCGUGAAGAGGGAAACAACCCAGACCGCCAGCUAAGGUCCCAAAGUCAUGGUUAAGUGGGAAACGAUGUGGGAAGGCCCAGACAGCCAGGAUGUUGGCUUAGAAGCAGCCAUCAUUUAAAGAAAGCGUAAUAGCUCACUGGUCGAGUCGGCCUGCGCGGAAGAUGUAACGGGGCUAAACCAUGCACCGAAGCUGCGGCAGCGACGCUUAUGCGUUGUUGGGUAGGGGAGCGUUCUGUAAGCCUGUGAAGGUGUGCUGUGAGGCAUGCUGGAGGUAUCAGAAGUGCGAAUGCUGACAUAAGUAACGAUAAAGCGGGUGAAAAGCCCGCUCGCCGGAAGACCAAGGGUUCCUGUCCAACGUUAAUCGGGGCAGGGUGAGUCGACCCCUAAGGCGAGGCCGAAAGGCGUAGUCGAUGGGAAACAGGUUAAUAUUCCUGUACUUGGUGUUACUGCGAAGGGGGGACGGAGAAGGCUAUGUUGGCCGGGCGACGGUUGUCCCGGUUUAAGCGUGUAGGCUGGUUUUCCAGGCAAAUCCGGAAAAUCAAGGCUGAGGCGUGAUGACGAGGCACUACGGUGCUGAAGCAACAAAUGCCCUGCUUCCAGGAAAAGCCUCUAAGCAUCAGGUAACAUCAAAUCGUACCCCAAACCGACACAGGUGGUCAGGUAGAGAAUACCAAGGCGCUUGAGAGAACUCGGGUGAAGGAACUAGGCAAAAUGGUGCCGUAACUUCGGGAGAAGGCACGCUGAUAUGUAGGUGAAGUCCCUCGCGGAUGGAGCUGAAAUCAGUCGAAGAUACCAGCUGGCUGCAACUGUUUAUUAAAAACACAGCACUGUGCAAACACGAAAGUGGACGUAUACGGUGUGACGCCUGCCCGGUGCCGGAAGGUUAAUUGAUGGGGUUAGCGCAAGCGAAGCUCUUGAUCGAAGCCCCGGUAAACGGCGGCCGUAACUAUAACGGUCCUAAGGUAGCGAAAUUCCUUGUCGGGUAAGUUCCGACCUGCACGAAUGGCGUAAUGAUGGCCAGGCUGUCUCCACCCGAGACUCAGUGAAAUUGAACUCGCUGUGAAGAUGCAGUGUACCCGCGGCAAGACGGAAAGACCCCGUGAACCUUUACUAUAGCUUGACACUGAACAUUGAGCCUUGAUGUGUAGGAUAGGUGGGAGGCUUUGAAGUGUGGACGCCAGUCUGCAUGGAGCCGACCUUGAAAUACCACCCUUUAAUGUUUGAUGUUCUAACGUGGACCCGUAAUCCGGGUUGCGGACAGUGUCUGGUGGGUAGUUUGACUGGGGCGGUCUCCUCCUAAAGAGUAACGGAGGAGCACGAAGGUUGGCUAAUCCUGGUCGGACAUCAGGAGGUUAGUGCAAUGGCAUAAGCCAGCUUGACUGCGAGCGUGACGGCGCGAGCAGGUGCGAAAGCAGGUCAUAGUGAUCCGGUGGUUCUGAAUGGAAGGGCCAUCGCUCAACGGAUAAAAGGUACUCCGGGGAUAACAGGCUGAUACCGCCCAAGAGUUCAUAUCGACGGCGGUGUUUGGCACCUCGAUGUCGGCUCAUCACAUCCUGGGGCUGAAGUAGGUCCCAAGGGUAUGGCUGUUCGCCAUUUAAAGUGGUACGCGAGCUGGGUUUAGAACGUCGUGAGACAGUUCGGUCCCUAUCUGCCGUGGGCGCUGGAGAACUGAGGGGGGCUGCUCCUAGUACGAGAGGACCGGAGUGGACGCAUCACUGGUGUUCGGGUUGUCAUGCCAAUGGCACUGCCCGGUAGCUAAAUGCGGAAGAGAUAAGUGCUGAAAGCAUCUAAGCACGAAACUUGCCCCGAGAUGAGUUCUCCCUGACUCCUUGAGAGUCCUGAAGGAACGUUGAAGACGACGACGUUGAUAGGCCGGGUGUGUAAGCGCAGCGAUGCGUUGAGCUAACCGGUACUAAUGAACCGUGAGGCUUAACCUU
rnacentral:rRNA from 1 species